GUAGGUGGCAAGCGUUGUCCGGGAAUUAUUGGGGCGUAAGGCGCGCGCAGGCGGUUCUUUAAGUCUGAUGUGAAAGCCCACGGGCUCAACCGUGGAGGGUCAUUGGAAACUGGAGAACUUGAGUACAGAAGAGGAAAGCGGAAUUCCACGUGUAGCGGUGAAAUGCGUAGAGAUGUGGAGGAACACCAGUGGCGAAGGCGGCUUUCUGGUCUGUAACUGACGCUGAGGCGCGAAAGCGUGGGGAGCAAACAGGAUUAGAUACCCUGGUAGUCCACGCCGUAAACGAUGAGUGCUAAGUGUUAGGGGGCUUCCGCCCCCUAGUGCUGCAGCUAACGCAUUAAGCACUCCGCCUGGGGAGUACGGCCGCAAAGGCUG
rnacentral:rRNA from 1 species